GCCCUCGUGGCACAAUUGGUUAGCGCGUGAGACUUUUAUCCAGUCUGUAUCAUUUCAGGUAUGGAAAGUAAAUCUCAAGGCUGUGAGUUCGAGCCUCACCGAGGGCG
rfam:Cyphellophora europaea CBS 101466 unplaced genomic scaffold supercont1.4, whole genome shotgun sequence.